rnacentral:rRNA from 1 species
UGCACUCACAAACUCGGCGAUCCUCAGCUCCCAAGAAAAGCUCCGGUAGAGUUAACCGCUGACGCGACCGUACCGCAAACCGACACAGGUGGGCGGGGAGAAGAUCCCAAGGCGCUUGAGAGAACCCUGCUUAAGGAACUCGCAAAAUGACACCGUAACUUCGGGAGAAGGUGUGCCCUCAUUACGUGAAGCCCGAACGGGUGGAGCGGACGGGGGUUGCAGAGAAUCGGGGGUAGCGACUGUUUACCAAAAACACAGCACUCUGCGAAGUCGCAAGACGACGUAUAGGGUGUGAUGCCUGCCCGGUGCUGGAAGGUUAAAGAGAGGACUCAGCGCAAGCAAAGGUCCGAACUGAAGCCCCAGUAAACGGCGGCCGUAACAAUAACGGUCCUAAGGUAGCGAAAUUCCUUGUCGGGUAAGUUCCGACCUGCACGAAUGGCAUAACGACUUCCCCACCGUCUCGAGCAGGGACUCAGCGAAGUAGCACUAGGGGUGAAGAUACCCUUUACACGGCAGGACGGAAAGACCCCGUGAACCUUCACUACAGCUUGACAUUGUUCGACGAAAGGAUUUGCGUAGGAUAGGUGGGAGGCUAUGAAGCUUGGAUUCCGGUCUGAGCAGAGCCAACGUUGAAAUACCACCCUGAUCAUUUUGGCGAACUAACCUACACCCGUGAGCCGGGUGGGGGACACUGUCUGGUGGGUAGUUUGACUGGGGCGGUCGCCUCCCAAAAAGUAACGGAGGCGCGCGAAGUUCCCCUCAGCCUGAUUGGAAACCAGGCGUCGAGUGUAAACACAUAAGGGGGAUUGACUGCGAGUCCGACGAGACGAGCAGGUACGAAAGUAGGUGUUAGUGAUCCGGUGGCUCCACAUGGAAGGGCCAUCGCUCAACGGAUAAAAGGUACUCCGGGGAUAACAGGCUUAUCACGUCCAAGAGUUCACAUCGACGACGUGGUUUGGCACCUCGAUGUCGGCUCAUCGCAUCCUGGGGCUGAAAUCGGUCCCAAGGGUUUAGCUGUUCGCUAAUUAAAGCGGUACGCGAGCUGGGUUCAGAACGUCGUGAGACAGUACGGUCCCUAUCCGCCGUGGGCGCAGGACGCUUGAGAGGAGCUGACUUUAGUACGAGAGGACCGAGUUGGACGAACCUAUGGUGUUCCGGUUGUCGCGCCAGCGGCAUCGCCGGGUAGCUAUGUUCGGACGGGAUAACCGCUGAAAGCAUCUAAGCGGGAAGCCCCCCUCGAGAUAAGGCGUCCCGAGCCGUAAGGCUCCUGAAGACCCCACGUAGACUACGUGGUUGAUAGGCUGGAUGUGGAAGUGCAGCAAUGCAUGGAGCUAACCAGUACUAAUCGGUCGUGCGGCUUGACCAC